GCUCGGGAGAAGAUUCACCGAGAAAUUAUACGUACACGAAUCUCUGAGUAUAUAGAUACAGAUAAUGGAGGAUGAAGCGGAGAUAUUUGAGGGACUCAGAUCGCAGUUCCCCUUGAGUUUCGGUAAGCAAUCCAAAUCCGAGACCCCUCUGGAGCUCAUUCACAACGCCACCCGUCGGGCCGCCGCUGCCGCCACCACUUCUACCGCAGUCAACUCGGAUAAGCCAUCUGCAUCCACCUCUAGUGACAAGGCAAAUGCGUUUCCUUCUCUAUCCAGCUCCUCUAAAGGCUGGCUCGAUUCCUUGAAAAACUCUAACCCUAGAAAUCCGAAGAAGAAAGCAAAAGAGGAUGAAUUAAUUGGGCCUCCCCGCCGACCAGUGAGUUCGGAUGGGACGGCGAUAAUUGGGCCGCCUAGGCCGCCUCCUGGAAGUGGUGUGGUGGAUGAGGAUGAUGAACCAGUAAUUGGGCCGCCUAGGCCGCGUCCUGGUGGAGAUGGUGACGAUGAUGAUGAUGAGCCAAUGGUUGGGCCGCCCAGGCCGCCUCCUGGCGGAGAAGGUGAGGAUGAUGACGGCGGGUCAAUGAUUGGGCCGCCUAGACCACCUCCUGGCGGCAUGCAGUCUGAUUCUGACGAAGAUAUGGACGAAGAAGAUGAGAAUUCUGGGUAUCGAAUUCCACUGAGCAAUGAGAUUGUCUUGAAGGGGCAUACCAAGGUGGUUGCGGCGCUUGCUGUGGAUCACUCAGGAUCUCGAGUCCUAUCUGGCAGCUACGACUAUACGGUUCGCAUGUAUGACUUUCAGGGCAUGAAUUCUCGUCUUCAGUCAUUUAGACAGCUUGAGCCAUUUGAAGGUCAUCAAAUUCGUGGUUUGAGUUGGAGUCCUACAGCAGAUCGAUUUUUGUGUGUGACUGGCUCAGCCCAGGCUAAGAUCUAUGACCGUGAUGGUCUUACACUGGGCGAGUUUGUUAAGGGGGACAUGUAUAUUAGGGAUCUUAAGAAUACUAAAGGCCACAUAUCUGGAUUGACUUGUGGAGAGUGGCACCCAAAGGCAAAGGAGACUAUCUUAACAUCUUCUGAGGACGGUUCACUACGAAUAUGGGAUGUAAAUGACUUCAAAAGUCAAAAGCAGGUUAUUAAACCCAAACUUUCUAGGCCUGGACGAGUUCCUGUAACCACGUGUUCCUGGGAUCGUGAAGGAAAACGAAUUGCAGGAGGUAUUGGGGAUGGUUCCAUACAGGUAUGGAACAUUAAAGCUGGAUGGGGAAGCAGGCCAGACAUAUACGUUGCAAAUGGCCACACUGAUGAUAUUACAGGAAUUAAGUUUUCCAGUGACGGAUUAACAUUGUUGUCAAGAAGCUUUGAUGGUUCACUCAAGGUCUGGGAUUUACGUCAAAUGAAGGAGGCUCUUCAAGUGUUUGAUGAUCUUCCGAAUCAUUAUGCUCAGACAAAUAUUACAUUCAGCCCCGACGAGCAACUCUUCUUGACUGGAACAUCAAUUGAAAGGGAAAGCACAACAGGGGGUCUGCUAUGUAUUUAUGAUAGAGCUAAAUUGGAACUGGUCUCUCGAGUUGGAAUAUCGCCUACAUUUAGUGUAGUUCAGUGUGCUUGGCAUCCAAGACUAAAUCAGAUCUUCGCAACAGUAGGGGACAGGCAUGAAGGAGGAACUCACAUACUAUAUGAUCCAACCAUCAGCGAGAGAGGGGCACUUGUGUGUGUUGCACGUGCGCCAAGGAAGCAAUCCGUUGAUGAUUUUCAGGCACAGCCCGUUAUUCACAAUCCUCAUGCACUACCGUUAUUCAGAGAUCAGCCUAGCCGCAAACGCCAGCGUGAGAAGAUAUUGAAGGACCCACUUAAGUCUCACAAACCUGAGCUACCAAUAAAUGGGCCAGGUCAUGGUGGAAGAGUUGGUUCCACCAAGGGAAGUUUGCUAACACAAUACCUUCUCAAGCAAGGUGGCUUGAUUAAGGAAACUUGGAUGGAGGAAGAUCCCAGAGAAGCGAUCCUGAAGUAUGCUGAUGUUGCUGCCAAAGAUCCUAAGUUUAUUGCCCCAGCAUAUGCAGAGACACAGCCUGAACCAGUGUUUGCCAAGUCUGACUCAGAGGAUGAGGAGAAAUAACUGGUGAUUAUGGGCAUUCUUUCUCAUUGUUGACAUUAGAAUAACAUUUCAUGAACAUUGAUAGGAUGGUAAAUGGAGAUUGCAUUCCUGUAUUUGUAGGAUAAAAUGAGUUCCCAUCAAGUUAUGAAUACCUGCUUCUGAGUCAGUUCAAAAUAUCAAACAACUUAAACAGCAGGAGGAAUAACCAUGGAAACUUGUGAAGAGAAGCAAUUCCAACGGUAUGAAGAGCUGUAAAA